AUGUACAUUCCUACAACAUAACAUUAAUGCAUCGGAUCCCAUUAGAACUUCCCCGUUAAGCGCGCUCAGGCUAAAAUAGUACUGGGAUGGGUGACCACUCGGAAAGUCCUAGUGUUUUACAUG
rnacentral:rRNA from 1 species